GCCUCUGUGGCGCUCACCCGCGCUCCUCCGCUCUGAUUGGUGGAGGCCGGAGCGUGUCGCCGAAGCAGGGAGGCACGGGGAGGGCGCUUCCGCGGUUGUGAGGCGCCGGUCGGCGGUGGUGAGGCCGGGUGGCAGGCUCGGGGCUAAGCGCGGUCUCGGCGGGUGGCGGCUCCGCCAGCGACGGGCGGGGUCGGAGCGAGAUGGAACCGUGACCAGUGACUGAGGAGAGAGCUGCUGGCAUGGAAUUGAGCUGGGUUUGCCCGUGGGAACUGUGAGUAAGGUUGCCAUCACGAAAGCCAAAGUGGAUUUCUCCGGUGUGGUGUGCCUGCCCCCUUCCGUCAUUGCUGGAAAUGGGCUGGACGGAGGAGGGGCUGGCGAAAAUGAUGAUGAGCCGGUGCUGGUGUCGCUUUCGGCGGCC